UCGGCUAUGAACGGAACUUCAAGCACAGACUGAUGACAUCAGGCUUUCCUACGCCAAAGGGUCAGUUGUAGUUUUUAUCUGGAGCUCUCUAGUCACACGGGGCCACACGGGGCUGAAAAUCUCUGAAUAAAAAUUCAAUAUCAAAAUUUCAGUUUUCCAACUAAUUCUCUACCCGUGAAGUUUGCCACCAACGAAAAAAAUAUGUGCGGCUUUGGUUGUGGUCCUUACGGCUACGGACCCUCGGGGCCCUGCGGACCCUGGUGCGGACCUUGGUGUGGCCCUUGCGCCUUGUCACUGGGACCCUGCAGCUACUCCUGCUGCGGCGGACCCAAAGGCUGCGGACCGUGUGGACCCGCCUGUUGGCCGUACGGCCUGUACACCUGCUAGGCUUCAGACGGAUUUUGGGAACGUGUGAGAUAUUCCCCCGACAAAUGUAGUUCAGGGUGGCCUAUGAAAAAACCUUGGCUUUACUGAAAUUCGAGCAAAAAGUAAACGUUGUAUUCAUUAAAAAAUGCUGCAUUCAUAUACCAAGAAAAUUUAAUAAAGCUUUUUAGGGUGGUUUAUAAAGUAAAAA